AUUGAACGCUGGCGGCAGGCCUCACACAUGCAAGUCGAGCGAGCGGCGGACGGGUGAGUAAUGUCUGGGAAACUGCCUGAUGGAGGGGGAUAACUACUGGAAACGGUAGCUAAUACCGCAUACCAUCAGAUGUGCCCAGAUGGGAUUAGCUAGGAGGUGGGGUAAUGGCGCACCUAGGCGACGAUCCCUAGCUGGUUUGAGAGGAUGACCAGCCACAAGGGAGCGGAGACACGGCCCAGACUCCUACGGGAGGCAGCAGGGGGGAAUAUUGCACAAUGGGCGCAAGCCUGAUGCAGCCAUGCCGCGUGUGGGAAUAAGGCCUUCGGGUUGUAAAGCACGUUCAGCGGGGAGGCGGGACCCGCAGAAGAAGCACCGGCUAACUCCGUGCCAGCAGCCGCGGUAAUAC
rnacentral:rRNA from 1 species